UUGGGCGCAGGUAACAAGAGCUGGAGAAAAUUUGGAUUUCGGGGCUUGAAUUGCGAGUCUGUGUUGCUUACAUGAGAUAAUAUAGACAAGAACAGUAGGGACAUCUGGAAGAAACGUGGAAGAAACGUGGUGAACGGAGGUUGGCUGAGCUGGAGCAGGGUUCAGGUGUUUUAUAUCUUGGCUGCUUCUGGAGAUGGUGACCAUGAUCAGAGGCAGAAGGAUCAGAUUGCAGUGGCUGCAGGCUUAGCAGGGCAGGACUUGCACUGCAUUCGCACCACUACACCUAUCUCAGUGAACGGUGGGCCCACUGGGUGGAGACUCCGUGUCCCUUCUUCAGGCUGUGCCCAGCUGAGCACCAUGGAUAAAGUCUUGAACACCAGAUGCUCCUCGUGGACCUGGCUCCAGAGAGGGCCCCCAGUCUCCAUGUCCCAGGGUGACGGACCCAUAGACUGCAGUGAUGUGUGUGACACCUUAACUCCUGGAAAUUAUGUAUAUACUUUUUGGAAGACAUUAACUGCCGCCCUUUGCCCCAGAAAACUGAAUUUGACACACAUCGAUGGCUUGACUACACAUGUGAAUGAGGACUUUUUCACAUCACGCAGCUUCUACCCCAGCAGCGCCUGUAAGGAAGAUGAGAAAAGCUCUUGUUGGACAGUCAGGUAAUCUUAUCACCCCCCGUGUUUUCCAGGAGAUUUUUACGCAGCGCAAAAAGAGUAAAGAAAACGCCGCAGAGAUGAGUGUUGCGUGGUUUUACGUGCCCCUGAAGGAUCCUCUCUCCUGAUAAAGGGACCAAAGAGGACAAAAACAAGCCUGCCCAUGAUAUUUUCCAAAAGAAGAUCGCAAAGGUGGAGCGAUUAGAGAAGGGCUGAUGAAGGGACUAUUAAUCCUUUCAGUGCACCAAAAGCACCAAAGGGUAUUAGAAACGUUUGGAUGGAAAUCGGGCGAGUGUUUGGAAUUGUUUUUGGUUUUAUAUGAAACUGGUGAUUAGUAGUUGUUGUGACACACCUAAAGGAUUGUUUUUUCCCCACUUAAGAUUCUAAUAAGGAGUAAAAAAAAAAAAAAAAAAAAACGUCUUUCACCGAAGGCUUGUGUGAUAUGAGCGGUUUCUCGGUGUGAAUUUUCAGAAACUCUCUAUCUAUAUAUUUUUUUCUUUUCAAGUAUUCCUAAAUCUAAAUGGAAUUAGUUGAGUCUGAAGCCGUUUGUGAAAGGAACAGACAUGGUACAUGGGCACAGCUUCCAUCACGUUGUUGCAAGUCUACUCAUACUUGGGUUGUGUGGGGCAACAAAGAAGGAUCCAGCAGUGAAAAACAAUUCGGGAGUGAAGCCUGCAGGUCAAUGUGGAACGUGGGUGAAAGAACCAGAAGGAGGGCUCUUCACUUCUCCCAAUUACCCAAACAAAUACCCCCCAGGCACAGAGUGUGUUUACAUCCUUGAAGCUCCCCCGAGGCAGUGUAUCGAUCUGCAUUUUGAGGAGAAUUACUCGAUCGAGUCCUCUUGGGAAUGUAAAUUUGACAACAUCGAGGUUCGGGAUGGACCGUUUGGCUUCUCCCCAAUGCUCGGACGCUACUGCGGUCAACACAGCCCGCCUGACAUCAGGAGUAGCGGCCGAUAUCUGUGGAUAAAAUUUGUUACAGAUGGUGAACUGGAAGCAGUGGGAUUUUCAGCAACUUACAACUUCACUCCAGAUCCAGACUUUGCAGACUUGGGAGUACCCCCACCUCUCCCCUCCUGUCAGUAUGACAUGGUUGGUCCAGAAGGUAUCGUUGAGUCUCAUCAGAUCACCAGAGACGGGAAGGCGGGUGCCGCUGAGGCCGUCGACUGUAAAUGGUACAUCCGUGCUCCGCCGCGCUCCAAGAUCUACCUGCGUUUCCUCGACUACGAGAUGGCAAAUUCCAACGAAUGCAAGCGCAACUUUGUGGCGGUGUAUGAUGGUGGCAGUUCGGUGGAAGACUUGAAGAGCAAGUUCUGCUCCACGGUGGCCAACGAUAUCAUGCUGGUGUCGACGCUGGGAGUCAUCCGGAUGUGGGCGGACGAGGCCAGCCGCAAAAGUCGCUUCCGCAUCCUUUUCACAACCUACCAAGAACCUCCAUGUGAUGCAGAUGCCUUCUUCUGUCACAGUAACAUGUGCAUAAACAACACGCUGGUGUGUAACGGCAUGCAGAACUGUGUCUACCCCUGGGAUGAAAACCAGUGUAAAGAGAAGAGGAAAGCCAACAUCCUGGACAACCUGAACAACACAAACGGGACCAUAAUUGGCGUGACCUGCUGCAUCGUCCUCAUCCUCCUCAUCGUCUCCGUCAUCGUCCAGAUCAAGCAGCCGCGCAAAAAGUACAUUUUGCGGCGUGAGGACUUUGACCCCACCAUGUUCCAGGAGGUCUUUGAGCCCCCUCACUAUGAGCUGUGUACUUUACGGAGUGCCACCACACCCACAGCGGCCUCAGCAGACCUAGUCGACCUGGCGGAAGACUUUGAGAACUACCACGCCCUCCGCCGUGCCUCCUCACGCUGCGUCCACGACCACCACUGUGGCUCCUCAUCCAACCCCGGCUCCGCGCACAUAUCCCAGCUGUCGCUCAGUGGACGGGGUAGCCGUGGCAACCUGAGCGCCCGUGACGCGGCGGCCGCCACUCUGCUCACAGAUCUCCCACAGCCCAUGGCGGUGCGGCCCUUGCUGCCGGCCACGGGAAACCGCAGGAGCAUCUUGGUCAUGAAGCACAGCUACUCACAGGAGGCAGCGGACAAUGAAUGUGACCUGGACGACGACCUGGAAGAAGUUCCCACCACCAGCCACCGGCUUUCACGCCACGAAAAGGCAGUACAGCGGUUCUGCCUCAUUGGCUCUUUGAGCAAACAUGAAUCAGAGUACAACACAACUAGGGUCUAAGAGACAAUCUCAAGGUAAGCACCCUUAUCCAACAAUCAACAUCUUUAUAUGUUGUUGUGUAGUCAUCAUUUGCCCAGUCAGUAUAUACUUUUAUGUAAGUUCUUUUUAUUUUUUUCCUUUUCUGUGAUUUUUGCACAGGUUUAUAUUUUAUUUUUUUAUGUUGUUAUGUUGUGUUUUUUUUUUUUUUUUUAAUCGUUCAUUUUCACCAAGAUGGUUUUCUUGCUUGCAGCCAUCUUGCCCUCUUAGUGAGUUUGUUUGAAGUCUUUGUGAUGCUCAAGUUUACUGUAUGUCCUCUUCCCUUGAAGACAUACAUUGUGUCACUCAGUGGAUAUUCAUUAGCAUGGACCUUUCCAAUCAUCUUUAGUUGAAGCUGUUAUCAGUUAAUAUGUCUAACCCCUUCACGUUUCUCCUAGUAGGCCUAGAGCAAAUCAUUUGUGUCAUUAAUGUUAAGAAACUUGUCAAGUUCACAUAAAAGCACAAGUAAAAGCAGAUGUAAUCCCAAAUGUUUUCAUUAAACUACAUCAAUGGAUUUUCUUUUGCACACACUAAAAAAGCACAUUGAGAUCAUUUAAAUCCUUAAUCUUUACUCAGCACACACUUAUACAGAAGUCCUCUGUAGACUUGCAUGAUUUGUGUCAGUUGUUGUAUUUGAUUUUAUGUUUGGUUAAUUAUGAAGCAUAGUACUUAUGCCUGUGUGUAACAUUUCAUGUGUAUAUGCUCCAUGACUGUGCUUUCAUGAAGUUGCAAAAAGCACAUUAGAAAAUAAUCAAUGAAAUGCAUACAUUUUGGAUGUAUGCAAUUGCUGGCAUUUAAUUUGUUUGGUAAUUAAGAGUUAAAUUUAAUACAAAAAGCAAUGCAGAGCUACACAAGGCCAUGCUUGCAGCUUCAUGCCUGCAUAUAAUGGAGAAGUCACAUAAAGUGCUACCCAUUGUUUUGUCUUUUACUGUGAAAAAUGUGCCGUCUUGAUAUGUGUGUGUGUCUGCUUAUGUUCUACAUUAUGUUGCAUUGUCUCCAUCAUGUAGACUUCUUGAGAAUAGUGCAAUCCUGGAUCAGUACGAACGGGCCUCACUGACAUAUGAAAAAGCGGAGCGGAGAUUUACACCAGCAUGAUGCUGAUGAUGAAGGGACGCUUUGACGAAAGGAUACUGAAUGUGUAUUCAUGUACAAAGAUGAACACAAAGGACUAGAUGAAAACACUCCAGCUGCAAUGCUGUGAAGCGGGAAGGUUUGGGAAAUCAGUCAGCUCUGUGCUCUACUCACUGUAGUCAAUCCAGAUGUUUUGUCUUGCUGUAAAGAUAUGGACCUUUACAAUGAACACGAUUACUGAACUUUAGAUUUGGGACGUCACAUACACGUUACAUAUCUGCCAUUGUCAUAGAGUCCUCACUGAUAACAAAAUGAAUGUGAUCAAACAUCUUCAAGUUAAUUUUUAAGCAUGUAUUUUUCAAAUUAGUAGCAAACAUAUUAUGAUUUUAAUAGCAAAUUUUAGGUGCUUGCAGUUUGUUAAAUCUAGAAAGACUUAUUUUAGUGAAAAUUGGAAUUAAACUGAACUAAUUACUAACCUGAUUGAAUUUAACUCUGUUGGAGCAACAAGAAGCAGUUUAAUUUGGAUAACAAAUCAAGGCCGAGUUGUAUGGCUUCUGCAUGCUUCUAUAUCCAUUAAAGCAUUAGCAUACUAACAUUAAAAUAUGGAAAACAGCCAUCUACUAAUACAUAAGUCAUAUGGGCAUAAGAUGGAAUUUUAAAAGCAUCUGCAUGUUGUUGCUUCGCUAAAUCAUUAGAGCAUCACGCAAAUAAAUUCCUGACAUAUUCAUUUUAACUCCGACUCCCUUUUGAAUAUGCUGACUAACUUUUUGACAUGUGUUUUUAUUUUAAUAAAGACUACUUGCUUUUUCGGGCAAACAUAUUUACUUCAAGUCUGUUUGACGUCUAACUCUCUUUUACUGUAGGAGCUUAAUAUCUUUGUAUUAAAACAGACUUUUCUACUAAGGCAAACUGAAAGAAUGACCGUUUUUACAGUUAUUCAAAUUAUCUUUCAGGGCUGAUUUUACUGAUGCUUUAUAAAAUAAAUAACAAUAAAGCUUCACCUUCUUCUUUUGUUUUAUUGGCUUUUUGGUCAGCAGUUCCUCUGUCCGUUUAGUGUGUCCUCAAACUGUCAGCACACACCAUCCUCGUCUCACAAUCAUACGUUUUUAGAUGUUGCUGUUUGUUGUGACUGAUUUGCUGCAGAGGGAGACCAGACUCAAACCAAAAAGGAUUAGUUUCAUCAAGCAGGACAAUAAAAUCAGUUCCAGACGGUUUAAAUAAUCCCAGGUAAUCGAGGCAUCUGACAGACAAGUUAAUUGACUUUUUGUGUUUUGUCCUGAUGAGAUUUAUCCCAUAUAUACUGCAGAGGAGCAGCAGCAGCCUUGCAUUUUAAUUAUACUCUGUGCUGGCAGGCUGGUUUUAUAAGAAACUGAAGGAGAGAAAAAAACAACCUGCAUUAUGUGGAAAGUGAGAUCAGCACCUCUGAGCACAAUGACAUCAACACACACAAAUCACACACUCUUGCAUAUCUUGUUUCUUACUGUCAUUGUCUAUUUUUUUCUUACUGUGGCGAUUUUAAUGGUAUUUACCAUCUAUGUCUACAUUAUUUUUCUGUGUUCAAUGUCAUGUAUGUAUUAUUUACAUCCAUGCUAUCCAGUCUUCUCUUCUCCCAUAUGCACACAGACAUAUAUUCCUGCAAAUACUGAAUAAAAUAUUUUUUUUUGUGUACACACAUUGUUCUGUGCGUUGUCUCUCUGCUUUACAUUUCUGUCAGCACGUAAAUUUGAAGAAUGUUCAGCGCAGCCAGCACAUAUACUCAUCCUGCUUUCUCUGUCUUUCUCCUCUUUACUCUUUCUCUUAAACACACACACACAUACACACACACACUCAAAGUCACAAAUUCAUCUGCCACUUUCUAGAUGGAGGCCGACACACCACUAAUUAAAUACAUCAGACAGAUGCAUCAUUCCUCUGCAUCUUGCCAAGUUUGACAGGAUUCGGAGCUAAGGUUUCUCCCCCAUUUGCAUCUUGAGUCAACCGUUGCCCUGAGCAACUUUACCAAUGUAGAGUGCUGUGAUGAGAAAAUUCUUUUUUUUUUUAAAAAAAAGGUUUGUGAUGUAUGCAUUAAGUUUUCUUUGUCGCUUUGGACUAUAGAAGGUGAAUUUCCCCCAACCUGUGCUCCAUGCCUGCCUAGGUUUGAAUGGAGCACUGAAAAUUUCAGACGCAGGACUGAAAGUUUGUUUGUUUUUGUUUUUCUUUUUGGAAAAAUAGAGUACCUUUAAUGUAAAGUUGUUCAUGGAGAAAAAAACAACAACAGAAUCAGGUUUUUUUAAAUCAUUUUCAUGUAACGAUUAAUAUAUGAAAUUGCAUAUUUCAGCUGCUGGUUUCACAUAUUUCCUAUUUUGAUGUCAUGUCUUUACAGUAUAGAGUAUCAGGUUGUUUUUAUAUCAAACAGUUAUUGAAAGACCUGUUGAGAAGACAACAGAACCGGAUGUAUGAAAUAAAGUGACAUUAAACCUCA